rnacentral:lncRNA from 1 species
AGUCUUGUCCCUUCACUCUGCAGGGCAUUGGGCGGAAGGUGAUGGAGCGGCAGGGCUGGGCUGAGGGCCAGGGCCUGGGCUGCAGGUGCUCAGGGGUGCCUGAGGCCCUGGAUAGUGAUGGCCAACACCCCAGAUGCAAGCGUGGAUUGGGGUAAGUGUGACUGAGGGACUUCCCUGGGGGCCCAAGCCUUUCAGCUAUGCCCUGGUUUCCCUCUUCCCACUGGUUUUGGCAUGGCUGCUGGGUACUCGUGCGGGAUGAAAUUCAAAACAGUUAAGAGGAAAAAGUGGAUCUGGGCCAGGCACGGUGGCUCAAGCCUGUAAUCCUAGCGCUUUGGGAGGCUGAAGCAGGAAAAUCGCUUGAACCCAGGAGGCAGAGGUUGCAGUGAGC